rnacentral:RNase_P_RNA from 1 species
AAGGUGGGACGAUCUGUCGCGGCCGCAAGGCUGAGGAAAGUCCGCACAGGAAAGGGCACCCGUCUGCGGAAAGCGCAGUGGGGAGUAAUCUUCAGAUUCCGUAACAGAAAACAACCGCCAGAAAUGGCAAGGGUGAAAACGCGGGGUAAGAGCCCACGACGCCGUAUGGCGACAUGCGGCGGGUACGGAACCGGGCCUGCAAGACCAAAUAUACCGGCAAACGGAGACGGCCCGUCGCCUGCCGGGGGGUAGGUUGCGAAGAUAAAUGACAGAUUCAAAAACAGAAAGCGGCUUACGGCCCCGCCUUUUUC